AUGUUUAGGUUUCAAACAGAGGGAAGCUGGAGAAACUUGUGAAGUUUUUUAGGGUGCCAGUUGUGACAAUUCCACCCCUCUCUUUGGAAACUUUCACCAAAGAAGGUUUAUUGUGGGAGUAGAACGUCAAAUCCCCUCUUUGGCAGCUCUGUUUCUUUGAGUGGGCCAGGAUCUUGGAUUGAAAAAGUCCCUCUGUUUAUGAUGUUUCCAAAGGUAAACUCAGCUCUGGAGCAGAGGUAUUUUCUGACACUGCACAAACUCUGAUGAAAUGUGGCUCACCCUAGAUGUUCUGUUUGCUCCUUCAAACAGAUGAGUUCAGUACAGCAAAUGUUUGACGAGGGCUUCAGGUCCUGGCAGGAGAACCCUCUAUAUGUUCCUGCUGGAGGAACCUUUUGGUGGAGGUACACAGUGCCCAGCACUGAGGAGAGUGGCUUUGAAAUGCUCCCAGAGGAAACGAAGAAGUAGAGAUCCAUACUUGUGCAAUACGCUGUAAUGAGUGACUCUUUGUGCUACGACCACAGCACAACAAUACAACAUUCAUCCACAAAUCUCUCCACACAUUUGCUGGAACGAUUAAAUGAAUUUGCUGGUGUAAUCCAAA